AGGCCCCUCCUGAGACAGGUGUACGAGCUUCGGUCCCAUCCCCAAGGAGGGGUAGCUUUGGAAAACUGCUGGAGCCCCACGGCCUGCUUUGGGGAGGAGCCUUAUCCUCUGGGACUUUGUUUUCCUUCCCCAUAAUGUGAACACCUAGUUUCUUGUCUGUGGCUUUUUUAGGGGCGCCCUGGGGAGAUUUCAGUCUCUAACCGCCCCAGCCUACCCACAUGGCACCGCUUGGGCAGUUUGUGUCCCUGCAGACCCAGCACCCACGUAUGGUAAGUGUGGGAACUGGAGGGGGAGGGGAGUGCAGAGUAGGAAGACCUGA
rnacentral:lncRNA from 1 species